rnacentral:tRNA from 1 species
GGCUUGGUGGUCUAGGGGUAUGAUUCUCGCUUCGGGUGCGAGAGGUCACGGGUUCGAUUCCCGUCCAAGCCC